GGCGCUGAAUCACCAGCACCCGCUGGCAGCAUCUGUGCAGCCUCAGGGGUGGGCAGGUGUCGCCUGCAGGUGUGCCUCGCAGGUGGCCCGACCGGACCUCAGCUACUGGGCAGUCUGGAGCAGCACGGAGCCUGGAGAUCGCUGGGAAUGGAGUUCUAGAAGGCUACAUCUGACUGGCUCAUCAACCAUCAAAGAGAGUCUUUCUAAAUCCACUGCCUUGGAAGCCUCAUCCUGUGUGAGGCAGAAUGGUGUCCCCACCAGGAGUACUGUCUUCCUUGCUGCUGCUGGCAGCCAUGGCAGGUGGCAGCUCUCAGCAGUGCUCUGAGGGCAGGACUUACUCCGACGCCAUCAUUUCACCUAACCUGGAAAGCAUUAGAAUCAUGCGGGUGUCUCACACCUUCUCUGUGGGAGACUGUACAGCAGCUUGCUGUGACUUGCCCAGCUGUGACCUGGCCUGGUGGUUUGAGGGCAGCUGCUAUCUGGUGAACUGCAUGCGCCCGGAGAACUGCGAGCCCAGGACCACAGGCCCCAUCCGAUCUUACCUCACUUUCGUGCGCAGACCUGUCCAGAGGUCUGGGCAGCUGC
rnacentral:lncRNA from 1 species